rnacentral:rRNA from 1 species
AUAACGACUCUCGGCAACGGAUAUCUCGGCUCUCGCAUCGAUGAAGAACGUAGCGAAAUGCGAUACUUGGUGUGAAUUGCAGAAUCCCGUGAACCAUCGAGUCUUUGAACGCAAGUUGCGCCCAAAGCCUUUAGGCCGAGGGCACGUCUGCCUGGGUGUCACAA